ensembl:snRNA U4 U4 spliceosomal RNA
AGUUUUGCACAGUGGCAGUAUCAUAGCCAAUGAGGUUUAUCCAAGGCAUGAUUAUUGCCAAUUGAAAACUUUUCCCAAUACCCUGCCUUGAUGACUUGCAAUUCAGUCAGCAUUGGCAAUUUUUGACGGUCUCUAUGGAGA